UGACAGAGUGAGAGAGGGGUGACUAGUGACCGAGUGAGGGAGGGAGUGGGUGACUAGUGACAGAGUGAGGAAGGGGGUGACACAGUGAUAGUCACCCCAUUCCUCCCUCUGUCACUAAUCACCACCUCCCUCACUCUCACUAGUCACCCCAUCCCUCCCUCAGUCACUAGUCACACCCUCCCUCUCUCUGUCACUAGUCACACCCUUACUCGCUGUCACUAGUCACACCCUCCCUCUCUCUGUCACUA